rnacentral:rRNA from 1 species
UUAAGUUGGUGUAGCCGAAGGACCAAGAAGGAUUGAGACCAAGGUUCUAAAGGCACAUAUGAGGCUUGAGUGUGCAGACUAAGGCCUAGGCUAAUGUUCGAGAGCAUGGCAAGGUAAGCAACCUAGUGUCAAGAAUGGGGACGGCUCAUUAGAAAGAUGGCUCUAGAUUAGCCAAGAGAUAGGCUAGGUGCAUUGGCAUAAAAGAGUUUGGAGAACCUUGGAGGCUAGCCUAGUGUGCAAGCACUAAAGGUUCUAGAAUGGCCUAAAGUAAGAACAAUAGUAGGUAUUGUAGUGCCCAAAUGAGGAAGGCUCAAGAAGGUUCUAGUUAUGGGCAGAGUAGUGACUAGGUGGGAAAGGUUCUGGAACUCAUUAGGUAUGGGCACUUAACGGGAAUGCCUAGACUCUUCUAGACUUGACGCUCAGUAGGAAGCUUAGAACAAGCUGGAUUUUACAAAGGCCUUAGCCAAACUAGGAUGUGUUUAGGGGUUAUGAAAAGGUUUAAAAGGAUUACAAGAGCCACACACUUAGAUCAAUAAAGGCUAUAUGUGUUGGGAAGGCUUAAGUAUAAAUAGAGGCCUUACCCCUCAUUUGUAAUUCAUAAGAGAAGCAAUAAGAGAAAAGUAAGAGGAACCAAGUCAUAGACUUUGUCAUAUUAGAGACUUGGUGGCAGACAUAAGAGUCAAUGUAAAAGCAUUUGUACAUAGCAUCAAGUAAAUAGAAAUACAAUUGCUUUAACUCUCUUUUCUAGCUUUUUUCCAUGCUCCUAAAGAGCCAAUGGAGUCCAUAGCAUAAGCGUUUAGCAUAGAGUUAGAAAAGAGGCUAUCUUACGCAUAUGCAUAGUAGUUUCUAACCUAAGGCCAUAUGGGUGCUAGGCUCCCCAACCUAUGAUACCUAUUGCUGAUGCUACCCCAGACCUUUGACCUUUGACCAAGUCCUUGAAUCAAGCAAUGGCUCCUUAAGGUGGUACAAGUAGAAGCUACGAUCAUAGGCUUGGUCUAGCCAAGUCUUUUAGGUAUUUGGUAGUCUUAUGGCUUUUUUUCAUUGACCACAAAAAUGCUUUUGUCUAGCCAAGCUCAUGCAUGUGUCAUGGCCCAGGGCUUAAGCCUAAGAGUGGAAAGGUCCUAUGUGAAUAGCACUUGCACAUGGGUUAGUCGAUCCUAAGAGAUAAGGGAAUCCCAUCUAAUAGUACGUCCAGCAUGAGCGUCGAAAGGGAAUCAAGUUAAAAUUCCUAAACUAGGACAUAACAGUUAAUGGCAAUGUUAGGUAGUCUAAAGACAUCAGUAGGGGCCUUGGGAAGAGUUAUCUUUUUUGUUUGACAACCUGCUCACCCUAAAAAUGGCUUUGUCAGAGGUAGGGUCCAAUGGCUAGAAAAAACAUCGCAUGUUGCAUAGUGUUCAGUGCACCCCUAACAGGCUUUGAAAAUAUGGAGGACUAAGUGCUAUCUGCACUCGAUGGUACUUAUAACCACAUCAGGUCUCUAAAGUGAAUAGCUUUUUAUCAAUGGAAUAGUGUUGGCAAAAGAAGUUAGCAAAAUGGAUCGGUAACCUCGACAAAAAGAUUAGCUCUAAGGGCUAGGCAUAGAGGUCCCAGUCCUAAACCCAUUUGGUGUUGGUGCACUCUUGAACCGCUCCCAUAGUGAGAGUGGGUCACUGCAUGCUAGCGAGGGGAUGGUUGGGAAUGGCACGUUCAGAGGCCUUUUUUAAGUGAUAAAUAGUUUACUUAAAAUUGGUACAGACAAGGGGAAUUUGACUGUUUAAUUAAAACAAAGCAUUAUGAUGGUCCCUAUGGAUGUUCACGCAAUGUGAUUUCUACCCAGUGCUCUAAAUGUCAAAGUGAAGAAAUUCAACCAUGCACAGGUAAAUGGCAGGAGUAACUAUGACUCUCUGAAGGUAGCCUAAUGCCUCAUCAACUAAUUAGUGAUACACAUGAAUGGAUUAAUGAGAUUCCCACUAUCCCUGUCCAUUAUCUAAGGAAACCAUAGCCAAAAGAAUGGGCUUGGUAGAAUCAACAGGGAAAGAAGACCUUGUUGAGCUUGACUCUAGUCCAACUUUGUGAAAUGACUUGAGAGGUGUAGGACAAGUGGGAGCCCUCAAGAAAAAUUGAAAUACCACUACUUUUAAUGUUAUUUUACCUAUUGGAUGAAUCAGAGGCAAGGCAUGACCCCUUCUUUUAGACCUAAGGCUAGCCUUGCUCGAUUGCUCUGGGUAGAAGACAAUGUCAGGUGGGUAGAUUGGCUGGGGCAACACAUCUAUUAAAAAAUAAUACAAGUCUCCUAAAAUGAACUUAACAAGAAUAGAAAUCUAAUGUGGAACAAAAGGGUAAAAGCUUGUUUGAUUCUGAUUUCUAGUAUGAAUAUGAACUAUGAAAACAUAGCCUAUCAAUCAUUUGAAAUUUGAAGCUAGAGAUGUCAGAAAAGUUAACACAAGGAUAACUAGCUUGUGGUAGCCAAGUGUUCAUAGCGACAUUGCUUUUUGAUCCUUCGAUGUCUACUCUUCCUAUCAUUGUGAAGCAUUUUUCACCAAAUGUCAGCAAUAGGGAACGUAAGUCAGGUUUAUACUGUCAUGAGACAGGUUAGUUUUACCUUACUAAUGGUAGUGUCACAAUAGUAAUUCAACCUAGUAUGAGAGGAACCAUUGAUUCACAUAAUUGGUCAUCGCACUCGGUUGAAAAGCUAGUGGCAUGAAGCUACCAAGCUUUGGAUUAUGACUAAAUGCCUCUAAGUAAGAAUCUAGGCUAGAAGCAAUGCACAUGCCCACCACUCAAUUGCCAACCUAUAGUAGGGGCCUGUGGACCAUAAGAGCAAAUGUCGUAGGUGCAGCCCUCAUGGUAGACAAGCCAUGUAGGCCUCCUGGAGCUCAAGUCCCAUUGAGCAAUGGGUGGAAUCCUUUGCAAAUGACUUAAAUAUGUAAUAGGGUAUUGUAAGGGGUAGAGUGGCCUUGCUACCCCACUAAGAUUCAAA